GAUGAACGCUAGCGGCAGGCUUAACACAUGCAAGUCGAGGGGCAGCAUAAUGGAUAGCAAUAUCUAUGGUGGCGACCGGCGCACGGGUGCGUAACGCGUAUGCAACCUACCUUUAACAGGGGGAUAACACUGAGAAAUUGGUACUAAUACCCCAUAAUAUCAUAGAAGGCAUCUUUUAUGGUUGAAAAUUCCGAUGGUUAGAGAUGGGCAUGCGUUGUAUUAGCUAGUUGGUGGGGUAACGGCUCACCAAGGCGACGAUACAUAGGGGGACUGAGAGGUUAACACCCCACACUGGUACUGAGACACGGACCAGACUCCUACGGGAGGCAGCAGUGAGGAAUAUUGGUCAAUGGACGCAAGUCUGAACCAGCCAUGCCGCGUGCAGGAUGACGGCUCUAUGAGUUGUAAACUGCUUUUGUACGAGGGUAAACGCAGAUACGUGUAUCUGUCUGAAAGUAUCGUACGAAUAAGGAUCGGCUAACUCCGUG
rnacentral:rRNA from 1 species